UACGGGGGGGGCAAGCGUUGUUCGGAAUUACUGGGCGUAAAGGGCGCGUAGGCGGUCAGCACAAGUCAGUUGUGAAAUCUCCGGGCUUAACUCGGAAAGGUCAACUGAUACUGUGCGACUAGAGUGCAGAAGGGGCAACUGGAAUUCUUGGUGUAGCGGUGAAAUGCGUAGAUAUCAAGAGGAACACCUGCGGCGAAGGCGGGUUGCUGGGCUGACACUGACGCUGAAGCGCGAAAGCCAGGGGAGCGAACGGG
rnacentral:rRNA from 1 species